AUUUCCGCCACCACCAUUUGAAUCGUAAAACAAACCCGACCAAGACCCAGUCGUUUCGCCGUCGAUCAAGACGUUCCGGUCACCGCACUCGACCUCCAAACCUGCGACGCCACUGUUCCACGACCCUCACCGAUUUCCAGUCAUCCCUUUACCACACCACCAUCACCACUGCACUCAGCGAGCAAUGGGGAAGAAGACCCAGAGGUUCCGUCACCCACCGAUGCCGGACGAGGCCGUACAAGUAGUCGCCGGAAUCUGGGAUUCUGCAAGUAUUGAUUCGUCGUUUCCGGCCACUCGAGCUGCACAACCACCAUAGUUGGAAUCAGGGCCUCCUCAUUCUUCAAAACCCUUUGGUCCCGACCUUUGCUUUGGCCAGAACCGCUGCACGCGCUGCCGCUGCCGUGUGGACCACCGUGGCUCCGCCACCGGAUUUCCAGGCCACCUUUAUUAGUUUUUGAUUAUGUGUUUUGAAGUUUCUGGAGAAAGGAAUAGGCAUUGGUUCAGUUUGACGUAUAAUGAAGGAAGGAGUUCGAAUGGUUGUUGGUGGUGGAGGACUACACUUAUUUAGAAUUGGCCCUCUAUUUGGAGAUGAAGAAUUGGGAACUGACAGAAAAGAAGAUGGGUAUUCCUAAUCCAGAAGCGAUCAAGCAGUUUCAAUUGACAAUGGAGGAAGGUAGAGUUUGAACAACCCAUUUCAAAUAUGUAAAUGGAUCAUCCUUUUGUUUGAUCUGAAAUUUUAUCUCUGUUUUUUGUUCGUCUUUUUUGGUUUUUUAACUUUACAGUUGAUGAGCUGCUGAAGAACACAUUUGAGGUUAGACCCCAUUUCUCUUUCAAGUUUGGGUAUAUUUGUUUCACCAUAGGUAAAAUAGUGUAUGAAAAGCAAGUUGUGAAUAUGCAGAUGUUAAAAACAUGCAUCUUUUUUGUUGGAACUGGUUUUCUGAGCUUUUCUUUUUUCAGUUUGUUCUUGUUGGGAUAGGGAAGAAUCACUUUAAUUGGCUUCCAAUGAAUUAUUUCAUGCUAAUCUUGCUUAUAGAAAGUUCUGUGAUUAUUGUUAACAUGAGGAAAUUAAUGGUAGGCUGAGAUAUGUUCAUGCCUAAUUGUUUGUGUUUGCUUUCAAGUUUUACAACUAUAAACCUGAGUCUCUGAAAGCGGCCUUCCCUAGAGUUGACAAGUUGCAAACCCUAAUAUGAAAGAUGGCGUAUAUGAGCAUUUUUCCUUCAUUCAUUUUAGUAUGAAAGCUGAAUUUCUUUGAACUAUUCUUAUAUUUGGUUUAGAAUUGGAAUAUUGUACGUAGAAAAUUGUUGUUAGUUAAAAGAGUUGAGUUCAAGAAACAUUUGUUCUUUUGUAUUCAA